UUUCUUUUAUAUUUAUACAGAGAGAAAGAGUUCGGCUACUGUACUAUCAAUAGAACUAAGCUUUUGAUACUAUUGAAUUUUUUAUUGUUAAAUCUAUACUUUGAUCAUUUUUACCCGUUAAAUCAUAUUCAACCAACCACCUACUCAAACUUAGAGGACUACUAUCAUCCUAACUACACAUUCUUCCAUCUAACAAUUAAAAACUCAAUACCGACCGUCCCUAGAACAAGUGGCAAAAGGCUUGGUGAUUGGUACCUGAGACCUAAGUUUAAAUCCUAGUUAAUUCACAUUUCUAGCUAAGUUUAUUUCUAAAUAAAAUAAACGAAGCAGAUAGCGUGCUACCUAUCUCUCUCUUAAAAAAAAAAAAGUUAAAAACUAAAUAGUACCAAAUUCUUAAUACUAUUGAUAGUAUACUAGCAUAUAUACAUAGAGUCCGGUUGAAAUAUUCAUUUGGUUCUAUCAAAUUUUCCGCCGUUAAAUUUAACUAUUUGACUAUUUUUACCUAUUAGAUUAUAUUAUUAAACCAAUAACUCAUUCAAUCCUAAAUGCCCAUAUUAUUCUAACUGUAUAUUUUUUUUAUCCCAGAGCUGAAGACAUAAUAGCACCAAUAGCUUGUUAUUUUCUAAAAGAUGCCCCAAGUUGCAGCAGGUGGGCGAAACAGGCCCAAAGUUCCAUUGGGGCUCAAUUCGGCUCGUGAAGGGAGACGCAAGAUCAAUGCCCCGUUCGCCCCGGCCUUUUAACUCCCACGUGUCAGUGGCGUUCGUUCGGUAGGUGACCCCUACUGUAACGUGGUUAGGCACCAGUCUCUGCCCCAUCUUGUUCUCCUCCUCCUUUCCGUCGCUCCUCGCUUUUUAUUCCCUUUUAUUUUCCCCCCUCGUUUCCCCACCCCCUCUGUUUCUCCACUCACAGUUUAACUCCUCUCUCUCUCUCUCUCUCUAUUGACUCUCAGAGAAAAGCCUUCGCCUCUCCCUUAACCCGUCCAUAUUUUCCCACAAAAGCCCCCAAAGUUAAUCAAGAUCCCGUUCGGAAUCAUCGGAGGUAAACCAUAUCCCAACGAUCUGAUUCGUUUCUUCGUGCCUCCUCUCGUCGAUUCUCGAAGCUUUUGGUCUGUUAUUUUCUCUUCGUUCCUUUUGAUUUGGUUUGAUUGCAAAAGUCUUCGCCUUUUGACUCAUUUCUUGCUCUCUUUUUAUUUUUUUCUCUUUUUUCCUCUUGUGUGUGCUGUUAAUGGUGUCUAGAGUCUAGGGCUCAUUUCUGAAAGAGAUUCAUGGUGUUAGGGUUUUGUGGCAGGGUAAUCGGUGAGGCCUUUGUGGAAUCUCGGGGCCCCUCUUCUCGGCAAUUAGGGGUUUUCGGUGAGGUUCUCUUGCUGGUGGAUUGAGUAGGAGAAAGAAAAAAAAGAUAAAGAGGGUUUUUGGUCUAAUGAGAAUUGGUAGGGGGAUGCAGAGAUUGGUCGGCAGGGAUCAGAGCUUGCUAGGGCUUUGGAAGGAAUCGGUCGGCCGAGGGCUUGGUAUCUGUGCUCCCAAGGUCCGGACCCGCGAUAAAGGAUUGGUUUUUACUUGGAACCUCUGAGCCACCAAGCGUCCAAAGCAAAGUGGUGAACCGAAAAGGCGGUGAAAACCCGAAGAAAAGAUCGCGGUCUUCUGUGUAGAGAAAGAUGACUAGAAUCUUCAUCCAGCGCGGGUCAGCUGGCUCUUCCUCAAAUGCCAACCGCCCGCCUUCGUCUUCAAUCCCCCAAACUUCUGGUACUCAGGUCGCUGUAAACUCAGCAGCAAAGGAGGAGGAACAAGAAAAAGAGCCCAUUCAAGAAUCUGGUGUUUUAGAUGUCGUGGAACAGCCAGGGAAUGCGGAGGACGAGAAUCUUCCGGAAAGUUUGGUUGAGAAAGAGCUCGAUGAAAGUGCUGAUAAGGAGAUAUUGAUGGUUGACGAGAACUCAUCAGAUGCUGCAGCUUUAGCUAGAGAUUUGAGUAGGGUUAGGGUGAAUGAGCACCUGGAAUGUGAUGAUUCUGGACUUCGCUCUGGUAUUGGUUCGUCACAGAUUGUCAUGGGACCUUCGUACCCUCCUCCUCCUCCAGUCCCGCCACAGAGACCACUGUCAGGGAGUCCGGGGUUGAGGAGAAUGGGUUCGGGGAGUUCGUUUGGGGUGAGGAUUGGUUCGUCAAGAAGGCCAGCUGCUUGGCCUGCGGCACUACCUUCUAGGUCAUCGCCUUCUGGAUCUCGGCCGUCUUCUCCCAGGUCACAUGCCGAGGCUGAAGGUUACAAUAGUUCGGACGAGCAGGGCCCCUGCUAUGUAUCCUCUUAUGAUGACGUUGUAAGUUCUGUUUAUUGUUUGAUUGUCGUAUUACUUGAAAACACCUUUGCAGUGAAGUUCAGUAGAUUUUACUGAUAAGAUCUGCUCCUUUUGUUUUGGGCUAGCUAUGAUUGGAAAUUAUAACAGCAAAAACGACAGAAAGCUGUUACUCGUCUGUCUGUCUUCCCAGCGCGUGUACUUUAUGCUCACCUUGAUGUGAAUUUAAUUUUUAAUUCUCUUGUUAAAUACCCUAUCCGUUGUCGUAUGUCAGUGUCGGAAUUCACCAUUGAAGAGUAUUUCUUGUGGUCAGUGUUCUAAACCUGGUCCAAUAACCUGCUUAUGUGCCUAUAUAUGGCAUCUAAAAGCCACAUAAUGAGCACACCAAGAAGUCAUAUACUGUUGUGUGUUUUAAGUAAAUAUAAUUUGGUUGUCUUAUGAUAUCUUCUCAUAUGCAUUAACACCAUACUUAACAUAGAAGAAAUCCCAAAUUUAGUCUUUUGUAGCUUGUUUUAUAUCUUAGUUUAUAGUUAUUUUUAAUCAUAUCUUACAUGAACUGCAUAUGCACCUAACUAGUGCAUUUGCACUAGGCCACGCCAUGGCCUGAUGACUAUUCAUGCUCCCAUGUCUUGUGGUGAUUGUUUUCUCGGCCAGUUUCCUCCAACACAAAAUAGUUGAUUCAAUAGUGUGUAUAUAUAUAUAUAUAUAUAUAGUCCGACCAUGAAGCUUGUAAAUUUUUCACCGUUAGAUUUAUCUUUUUGAUCAUUUUCACCCGUUAGAUCAUACUAUUCAACUAACUACCCAUUCAACUCUAGGGGACCACUAUCAUUUUAACUGCACAUUCUUUAAUCAAAGGGCAGAAAACCUACAAGCACCAAUGACUUAAUGCUUUUAAAAGCAUAGGAGCUCGAUUCUAUUUGCUUAUUUGCGUGUUGACAAUUCAUGCUUUUGCAUGUAAAGCUGUUUUUUUCUUCUAUGUAUUGCUAUUUAUGUCUUUUUACCUGCUGCAGUUUCUAGAAUCUAGUUGAUUCAGAUUUUAUAUCUUUUGUUUUAUUUAUAUGUAUGUGUUAGGAGACCUUCCUAAUUCUAACCAGUUUCCAUUUUUUUUUUCUUUUCAUGUAUUUUCCAAUUUGCCUUCCCUUUUCUUAUAUUAUUGCUUUUGGUGUCAUGAUGUUGUCUGUAUCACUAUGUUUCCAUACUGGCUCCUAAAUCACUUAAUUGUUUCAGGAGAGAGAACGCAUGUUUGAGGUUGAGAUUAGACGAGUGAAGGGAUUUGAAGUUAGAAGGAUGUUGGCGGAUGGGAAUUGCCUAUUUCGUGCUGUUGCAGAUCAAGUUUAUGGUGAUCCAGAAGCAUAUGACAUGGCUAGGCAAAUGUGCAUUGAUUAUAUGGUACGUUAAGCUAUAGCACGAAAGUGUAAUUCUUUGCCAGUGAUUACAUGUUGUACUGAUCUUCUGCUACUUGUUUAAACUGUAUGUACGAGAGGUGACAUUUUUGUUUUUCUGUGAGCUUUUUCUAUCAUUUAACGUGGUCAAAUAGAUGGUAUUCUUAAAUGUACGUAAAUUUCUUGCAAAUAUAUUGAGAGCCACAUGUUUAUACAAUUCAAGCAAAGCCUAGCUUGUUCUGAAUUAGUCAGUAUCCUUCAGUAAAGCCUUCAAACAUCGUUUUACUCAAUGAUUGGUGCUACAUGAAAUUUAAGGAGCGGCUGAAUUUUACUUUUCUUGGUAGCUAAUUUACUAUAUAUGAUGUAUGUGAAGGCUGCAUCAUGGACAGAAGAGAAUCCUGAUUUACAACCAUCCAUAAAUUUGGGGAAAGUUCACAUAUUUUCUAUAUGGUCUGGUAUACUACUAAAAUAAUUUCAUAAUGUUUUUGCAUGAGAAGAUCAUACAGUAAUUAUGAAGUUUUAUGAUUAUUAUGACUAAACUAUUAAACAUCCACUGCCUUUAACAUUAAUCAUAUUUCUGGCUUUGACAAAUUCUGCCCGAUCAUUGCAAGUGACACAUGUAGGAACAUGAGCAAAGCAAAUGCUUGUUUCUUUCUUGAACAUCUGUAGAUCGGAAAAAACAAAUAGGAGGUAAGAUGAGCUAGGGUACUGAUGUGGUAAGAUGAGCUAGGGUACUAAUGUAGUUAUCUAGUAAAUCAGCUGGCAUGGCAAAGCUUAUUAUAGUUUUGCACUGAUUCUUUAAUAUCCUUACCAUUCAAAGCGUGGAGAAUUUACUGCUGUUGUUACCCUAAUUAUGUUAAUGUGUUAGUGUUCCUCAUUCAUAUAUUCUUUUUCAGGAAAGGGAGAGGGAUCAUUUCUCUCAAUUUAUAAUUGAAGGCUUUACAUCUUACUGUAAGAGGAAAAGGCGAGACAAGGUAUGUAUGUUUUAAUAAAUGAUAAUUAGUCGACACCAUUGUACAAUUCUGUAUUGUUUAGAUUUUUAUGCAUAUAUAUCGACGUACACAUUGGCUUGAGUAACUGUUUAAUUAUAGGUAUAUGGAAACAAUGUGGAGAUCCAAGCAUUUGCUGAGAUGUAUAAUCGUCCUAUUCACAUCUAUUCCUACAGUACAGGUCUUGUUUGUUCUUUAGCUUAUUUGUCCCUGAGCUUGGCUUUGUAAGGCAGAUUGUAAUAUAAGCACUUAAACGCUUCUCUUUUCUCCUCCGCAGAACCUAUAAACAUAUUUCAAGGAAGCUAUCAUACAGAUACACCACCCAUCCGGUUAAGUUACCAUCAUGGGAAUCAUUAUAAUUCGCUCGUUGAUCCUCGUCGCCUCACAAUUGGUGCAGGCCUAGGAUUCAGCAGUCUUCGAGGAGUAAGUGUUUCUAGGCAAAAAUCUUUUGAUUGGACAAGACUUUACAGAAUCACCAUUAUUUUCUAGUUGAAUUCGAAGGUCGAUUUGUUUUAAUUUGGGUACGCCAAUAGACUUAGUAAGAAUAGUUGGAUUGUUACAUAAUUAAUUUCCUUUUUUGUAUCUUUUCUUGAAUAAAAUUUCAUCUCUUCUCCAGGCAAACAUUGAUAAGGACCAGGUGAAGACUGCUAUAAAAGCCCAGCAAGACCAGCAGAUUGAUAACGUAAGUUUCUAUUCCUUUUCACUUGGCCUAGUAUUAGUUUUAAAUUUUUUUUGGUAGUAGUGAGGUGCUCUUCUUGUUUGCGUAGUUUGCCAGUUGGAGAGAGAAACUGACAAUUUCCUUUCUUUUGCCUUCUUGUGCUGGUUGAUUAGGCUGUAAUCUUAUUUGCACAGUUUCUCCAUCUUAGUGUAGCAGUAAUCUUAUUUAACUUGAGAAUUACCUCUUCAUAUAUAUUAUCUGUGUUGGUGGACUUGCUGUUAGAUGUAGUGUAAGGAUUGGAUGAUGAUAGUGAUGAUAUCUCAUCUAAUUGCUUCUUCAUAAAUUCAUCUGGCUGCACGAGUUUUUCUUGCACAUCUGACUUUCAAAUUACCAUUUUACAUAUUCCACUUGAUCUAGUAUUUUAAGGUAUGUUAUAUGUGUUCCGCCCAUAAGGUUUUCAAGCCAUUGCUCAGACUUAACAUUUACUUUUCUUCCUGUAAAUGCCCAAUAGUCUAGACUCUUGGCUACUCUAGACUCUCGGCUAACUCAUGAAGCACACUGAAUUUAUGAAAAGGAAUUUUUUUGCAACUAAGUUCUUUUUGCUCAACUCAGCAUAGGAAAGUUGCAUGGCCUUUACUGGUGACAUAGUGCUCUUAAAAUAGUUGAGAUGCCUUUUGUUUUUUCUCUGCAAGCUGGGAAGUUAUGAAACAUUUAUUUAUACAUGAAAAGCUACAUGUGUGGAAAUAGAAAAUUUUCUAAAACUGCCAGACCGAAUGGUGACAGGCUCUUCUAGCUGAGGGUCGUUUUUACUCUGAUCUGGAGCUGACAGAGAAGGAAAUAGAGCGCAUGGUGAUGGAGGCUUCACGUGCUGAAUAUUUGGCUGCAGAGAAGCUGAAGCAGCAGACCUCAUUUAGAGACUCUUCGACGUCCGCUGCAGAGCCAUCAUCUUCCGGAGCCAGUAAGUUCCAAUUUGCCUUGGGGAAUAACUUCUUUACUCCUUGAAGGAGAACCUUUUAGAUUGCCUAGCAUUUAGUGAGCAAAGAAUGUGGAGCUUUAAACGCUGUAGCAUCAAAUUGAAGCUUUUGUAAUGCUUAGAUUGCCAAGCAUUUAGUGAGCAAAGAAUGUGGAGCUUUAAAAGCUGUAGCUUCAAAUUGAAGCUUCUGUAAUGCUUCUGCAGGAAGCUGUUGAAGUUAUUCUUACAAUAAAGAAGUUAUCAGCUCUAGUUGAACAACGCGUUUGCAAAACCUCUAAUCGAGACAAAGAGGGGCCCUUUGUGUGGAGAUGUGGUGCUGACCGAAGCAUUUGUGUGUUUUACAGUUACAGGUCCAUCCUGCACACCAGCGACGAGAGGAAGUGAUAAGAACCUGUUGUCAGAAAUGGUGCUCUCGAGCAGCAUGCGGAUAGUUUUGUCAAUGGGUUUCACCUACAUGCAGGCGCUGGAGGCGUGUAGCAUAUUUGGCGAUGACGUCGACUCGAUGAUAUGUUACUUGGUAGAGAUGGGAGGCAGUAGCGCUUCACCCGGCGGCAGCAAUCAGCACAAAGGUAAAGCUGCAGAGUGAAAAACCGCAAGAAUGAUUGCCGGUGCAGCAAUUGAAAAUGGCUCGAAUAUGCUCUUACAAUGAUUAAAGACCAAAUAGAACUUAUCAUCGUGGUCCAAUAAAUGAUAAUCAGCAGUGUUCUUUGUUUAGCCUGAACAGUUUUAGCUGCCAUUAUGCUCUCAAUGUAUGCGUAUAUAUUAUCAUGUACAUGAGCUUUAAUGUUGGCCGCUAUUGUACUAUUUCCCGCUUAACAAAACCACGUGUUUUGGCUAAAGUUUCAGUCUGGUAUAUGCUGUUAUAUUCCGUCGCCAUGGUUUCUAUACUGGUUAUUCCAGUGCUUGCACCUUGGCGGGUCGCAGAAGGCUGAGGAUUUGCCGAUUUGGGGGGCCGGCCUGCAUCUCAUGAGUUUAAAUCUUUUUGAUUUAAACAUUUGUCAUCUUCGCUUCGUACAAAGGCAUUUAGUUUGGUGGCUUACAUUUCUGUUUUGUGGACCUCCUAUCUAGCCUCUGCCCUCUGGUUCCCUUUUUCCUUUUUUUUCUUUAUUUAUUUAUUUAUUUUUUUGACCUCCUUCCUUUUUGGCUUGUUCCUGCUCCCAGCUGCCUAUGGGAAUGGUGGGCAAUAUAUGGACGAAUAGAUAAGAUAUUUCUAGGGAUCCAUCCGUCUGGAUCCAUUUGCAGGUUUAGCCCCGGAGGCUACCAAUAGGAGGGUUUGAAUGUCGUGUCCUCCAAUUAGCGUCAUUAAUUUUAAGCUGUUAAAACUAUUUUAUUAAAAAAAACAAUUAAUUUAAAUAAAAAAUAUAAUUAAAUGUGUUAUUUGUGUGAUGAACUUUAGGUUGGAACUUAACCCCCGUUCAACCCCCUCCUCAAACAAUACCACGCUCCCAAAAACCAAAGAACGGAGGAGUAAAAGUAAUAAUAAUAAUAAUAAAAGUAAAUCCUAAAGCACAAUUGUUGGUACGAAAACGACGGUAUGCCACGUCGGAAUGGUGGGCUAUCACCCCGCCAUCGUGACUGUUGGGUUAAGGGCGGGGUCGGUCUGCGGCUGAGCACGUGCGCGCGCAUCGCACGGGGGCCCUCAACACGGUUUAUCUGUUGCGCAAACUCCCCGGUUUCCGACACGCGGCGUUGAGGCCACGCGGCGCGUCCACCGUUCCCCCACGCCGAAAGACCGCAGAGACCCACGGGGGAGAGGGCCGAUGGCAUUUCCGUCAUUUUGGAUAAUUUCUCCUCCAUCUGCGUCGUCCGACGGGGCGGCGAAGGGUCACCGCGGUCUCUCCAAUCCCUCGCCCCACAGCAUCGCCCCCGCUGGAUCUCUGCCACGCCUCCCAAAUUCCCAACUUAUGAAUGAAAUGAAAUGAAAUUAAAUUAUCUAAUCUGCGGCUGGCUGUCCGCUGUGCAGCUUCAGAGCUUUUUGCUUCCCCGCCACCCCCAAGCCACCACCAAUUAGCUCCUCCACGUUUGAGGCCCAGCUUGCUCCACGUCUGCGGCCCACCGGGCCCACACCACGCUCCCCGGGCCCCCUAUCCCUUGGGAGUUGGGGUUCGGUGGGGCGCCCUCGCCCCGCGGGCCCCACAGUGUCCUUGCUGGGAGCACGAGCACCGGUUGCAUGCGGGUCGCGCCCCACCGCGCCGCCACGUGCCCGACCCUCCUACGAGGAUCCAACUUCAGAUGGGGCCUCACAGCCUCAGGGGCGCGCCACGUGGCGCUGCCUUGAGUCGUGAGAUGGAGCGUGAGAUCGCACGGUCAUCCGGGUAUUUUAGGGGGUAAAAGAGGAGCGGAGGGGCCCUCGAAACCCUCUACCCUCAACAACCCAACCCGUCAGUUAGUAGUGGCAGCUGCGACAGCUCCACGAGCAGUCGUGGUAGUAAUCCUGUAGAGCGGUGCAUUUGAAGUGCGGGACGGAGAGCGGAAGCCCUUUGUAUUUUUUUCGAGCUGCGUCGAUCUCGGGCGCCAUGGAGGGAGAACGGGAGGAGACGGGAGGGGCGGGACCGAACCCUAACCCUAGCUCCAGCGGGGCGGGCUCGCGGGGGCAAUGCAGAUCGGGGGGGAUGGUGGAGGUGGAGCUCGACGCGGCGCGGGCGCUCGCCGAUAUGGCGGCGAUCGGGGAACGGUCGGGGGAGAAGCGGACGAGGAAGCGCGCCGAGAACGAGUCGUCCGGGCCCGACUCGGUUCAGGCGAAGAGCUCUCAUGAGCCCUCCUCCGGAUCAGAGGUAGCUUCGUCCUCCUCCUCCUCCUCCUCCUCCUCCUCCUCGUUGUAGUCAUCGCCAUGGUCGUUGCGUCGGGGAGAGAAGUUGCUCUCUUUUAUGGGCUUAUAUCGUUGGCAAUUUCACAUCUAGCUGAAUAAUCGGAGCAUUUAGUUUAGUAUUUCUCGUACUACUACGUAUAGUUCUGGAAAAAAGUUGAGCACAAGUGAGACCACUCAUUAGUUUCUUUCCCGUUUCCCGUCGCAGAGGUUUAUCCUGUUCCUUCGAUAUCUUUUUUUUCCUUCAAUUAUUUCAGCUGUUCCUAGUAAAUAUUUAUUUAAGUCAAGAGUUCAUUGUAAACAUUGCAAGUCUUAACUUCUUUUGUGGGAAUAAAUAUUUAUAUUUAAGACGUUAUUUUAAGGAAAUUUAGACUGUCAUAUUGUGCAACAACACAUAAUUGAAUCUAGGGUCGGUUUGGUUUGGUUCAACGUAAAACUUAUGAAAAAUAAUUCUCGGUGGAAAAAGGUUUUCUGUAGAAAAAAAUUUUAUGCUCUCUAACAUUUGGUUCGUAGGAAAAGAAAAAAAAGUUUUCCAUUCAUUCAUGUUUGUUUACUUGAAAUAGAAAAUUUGAAUGAAAAAUAAACAUGCCACCACCCUGUCUCAUGAUCCAACAUAUAUAUUAAGAUGUUUGCUAGUUAGCUUUUCCGCGUUUCUUCUAUUAAUGGCACUAUAAGAUUAGGUAUUUAUAUAAGAGGUAUCGCAUUCGCUUGGAUGCAUUUUUUGCCCUAAAGUGAGAUUCACUACUUUGUUUCGGCAUUGUCCUUUAGUAUUUGUACCUACGACAAGAAAACGUUGCAAUCUAUCGCCUGAUUAAUUAGUUAUUAAAGAAUUACUUUUAUUUUUCUUUGUUCCCCUUUUGAAAGCAAUGUUCUAAUUGCAUUUCCUUGUAGCAUUCGUAUUUGGUUCGCGAUCACCGUGAGGGUAAAAGGAUUCAGGCGGAAGCGGAGAAAGAACCAAAGAACCUGCAACUAAGUGUAGAAUUGAGUAAACUAGGCAUCCACUGCUCUGCUAGCCAAACUCCACUCUUUGGCAGUAGAGGGAAGCAAAAUUUGACCGAGGUAGCAACAUAUUCAAAUUCAACAAAAUUUUGAUUUUUAGUACAUGUGGAAACUUUGACCCCUCCGCCCCCCCCCCUGUUUAGGCUGAGAAAGAAGCAAAGAGACUACGCAGGGUGUUAGCUAAUAGGGAGUCAGCUAGGCAGACAAUUCGUCGGAGACAGGUAAAAACAUGUGAAAGCAUUUCUAUUUGUUUCUAAUGAUGUGCAGUUCUAUUUUAUGCUACUGAUUCUUCACACAAUUAUCAAUUGAAUGUUCUGAUUAUGACUAUCCGCUCGCUGCUUACGAACAGCACCUUUCUCCUCUUUUUGCGUAGGCCCUGCGCGAGGAGCUAACAAGAAAAGUUGCAGAUUUGUCAUUAGAGAAUCAGAAUAUGAAGAUGGUAUGCUCAAUCAUUCCGUCAUUGUCAUAAGAAGUUUAUUUUGAAAUCAGGGAGCUUCAUCUUGAUAAUUCAAACUGAAAAACAAUUGUUGAUAUUCAUCUUAUAUGUGCAUGUUGUUCAGAAGAAAGAAAUUGCCACGGAAGAGUAUCUUGCAUUGAAGGACACAAACAAAAGGCUGAAGGCUCAGGUAUAACUUCUUAAUAAGCUUUUCUUGAUAUCAUCGAUUGAAGAGAUGUAUAUUCCUGGGGGGGUUAUUUAUUUCACAAAUUGCGAAGGAAACCAAGUGGGACGCCGUGGCGAAAACAGAGCCUGCACCCCAACCGGUUCAAACAACAGUUGCAUCACCAACCAAGCGUUCCGCAGCACUACAUAGCACACAGCCAUUGGUGCCUUAUAUUUGGCGAUCCUUGCCUGCUCGUGGUGCAUGCUAUGAGCAAGGUAAUCCAAGCGUCAGUGGACCGGGUCCGCCGUUCUCCCUGCCCCCGUGUGCAUGGUUUUAUCCUCUUGUCCAUGAAGUGCCUCAGCCCUCAGCGUUAUACUCUCAUGCCUCUAGAGAUCAAUAUGUAUCGUCUAGCAGUGCACAGCAUAGUUUUAAAGAAAACAGACCUUCGCCUGCUGUAGAGGAAGAGGAAGAAGAAGAGGAAGUUCCCUGCUCACUAACUCUAGCCAUUGAUGAAGGAAAAAAGGCUACUAUAUAUGGUAAAGCUCAGGAGAUAGCCCUUUGGUGCGUUUGGUUCGUGUUAUUUUGACAGGAUUACAGAGUAUCCUACAUGAAUCUUUUGAAAUUAUUAUAUUUGGUUCUUCCUGCAAAUAAUCCAAUUGGUAAUGCUGCAUUACUAAUAGCAAAAGGUAACUCUCAAAAGAUUACCUACAAUCUUACAUUACUGACUGUUAAGUAAUGCCGCAACCGAUGCAAAAUUAUAAAAUUAAUCAUUCACAUCUCAAUUGCCUUAAAUUUAAUUCGAAAAUAAAGUUAAUAUUUCUUAUUUAAUUAAAGUACUUAUGUUUAAAUUUAAAUUUUAAAUUUUAAAUUUAAUUUGAAUUUGAAUUUUGAAAUUGAAAUUGAAAUUGAAAUUGAAAUAGUUGAAUUUAAAUUUAAAUUAUUUAAAGUUAACUUUGAAUAUAAAAUUUAAAUUUGAAAAUUAAAUUUAAAUGAUCCAAAAUUAGAAUUUAGAUAUAAAAUUUGAAUUCGUAAUCAAAGAUGAAUUUGAACUUUGAAUUAUUUGAAUAUAAUUUUAAAACUUUAAAAUCUUAUUUUAAAUUUAAAUUAGAAUUCGAAUUUGAAUUCAAAAUCAAAAUUUGAAUUUAAAAUUCCUAUUUAAAAUCAGAAUUUAAAUUUGAAAUUUGAAAAAAUAAAUUUAAACCUAAAUUUAAAUUAUUUAUUUAAAUUUUAAAUAAAUGUGUAGGGGUAUUUUCAGAAUAGUAUUAGCUUUUAUCAUCAGGAUUACUGAAAUAUAUAAAACAAUCUAAACAAAAUAAACUUACAUAUGUAGUAAUCCGGCAUUACAUUAUUGCACUGAACCAAACGAAAUAAUGCAACUGUAGUAGUCUAAAAAAUAGAUGUUAGAUUACAAGUCAUAUUGAAAUAAUCAGUGAUACUGUAUAACGCGAACCAAACGGGUCCUUAAAGAGAGUCGGGUACUGGAUACUAAUUCAGAUAGACCAGUUCAAGUGUCCUUUUUUUAUAAAUUUUCGUUCUUCUUUAGAUAUUCAACGUAAAUCCGUGUCGGACCAGCAUGUGAAGAAUGUACAGAGAGAAACGGAAGGAGGUCGUUCUUACUCUCAUGAGGAAUCUGCAAAUGCAGCGGUGGUGGCAGCAGCAGCAGAGGCCAGAAAGAGGAGGAAGGAGCUCACCAAAUUGAAACAGAUGCACGGAAGACAGUUUGGGUUUCAAUAGUGGGGUAUGAGAUUAAGAAGACAAGGGGAUGACUAGUGCUGUUCUGACUCUCAAGUAUUUGACUCAACUGAAGAUAUAGGAACUUGUGAGAAUCUGCACCUGUCAAUGAAGUGCUGCUGGGUUUUGCUGAACUGUGUUUGUGUAAACUUAGUCCCAAAUGCUUAAAUUUGUGGAAAGCCUGUGAUUGAAAACAGUCUUCAUCAUACAUCCUUGUUUAGAAAUGAGAUCAUUUUGGUAAGCAAGCAAUUUAACUAAUUGUACAGUUUUGAUUGUUUGUAAUUAUCUGUUGAUUUGUGUCAGUGGCUGGAGAGUAUUGACUUUGUGCACUGAGAUCACCACUUGCAAGUGUCAAGUGUCAUAGACUUCAAUAUCUCAUGGUUUAAGGUGAUUUAAGUGUCAUUUGAUUCUCUAGUCUAGAUCUAUUCCUUCCCUUGUUCAAAGUGUGCUAGCGAGAUUGCUAUAUUUAUUAUAAUACUGAACAAGAUAAGUGGGUGGUUAUAAAUCGAUUCAAGGUACUAGAAUUAUAUUAUGACAACAAUAAUUGGAAUGAUUAUCUGGUAAAACUACUAUUUAUUUAUUUCGUUUGUGUACCUCCCAUUCUCUAACAAUGAAUAAGUUUAAAAUAUGUGUACGAGUUGACUAAGAUAUCAAUGAGACAAAAAUUUAGAGUUUUGUGGUAGUGACACAUCAGCAAUAUUUUAAUAAUAAUUUAUAGAAGAGGCUUAACUUUUUCUAAUAAUUUAUAGAAGAGGCUUAACUUUUUCUCUCGAACGGCGUACGUUUAAUGAAAUAAAUCAAGGGAUCCUUAAGCUUGACUGAUGGAUCAUGAACACUCCCUCACCAGAAAAGCAGGAUAAAGCUGUAAAUUUUCUUUCGUUCUUAACCUGCCAUUUUAAUUAUUAGUAGAAAAGAAAAGUAUAUCAUAUAUGUAUGCAUACACACACACACACACACACACUUCUGGGCUUCUAGCUAAUAGAUAUUUCAGUUAGGUACAAUAUCAUCAUCCGUUAUUUAUUAAACUUAAGCCGAAAAGAAAAGGAAAAAGGAAAAAAGGGAGAAGCAAAGCUAUACACCGCCUUCUUUUCACAGAGAGAGAGAGAGAGAGAGAGAGAGAGACAGAGAGGGUGAACUUGAAGAUUAAAAAAAAAAAAAAGAGCCCCGGUAGCAACUUUACCCUCCUGGUCCGGGUCCGGGUCGAAUUCGGGUUCGGAUUCGGGUUCAGCCGAGGGCCACGAGGAGCAAGAAAGCCAAGGAAACGGCGGCCCCAACGGCGGUGCAGAGGAAGUCGACCAAGCCCUCCCUUCUGGCUUUGCUCUCCUUCCUCCUCUUCCGCCUCCUCAUGAACUCGUCGUAUCUCCUGUUCGCCUCCUCCUCGCCUCUUCCUCUUCCUCUCCUCGCUCCCUCGAGCGCUUCCCCGAUGAUCCCCAGGCUCUCUCCGCCGCUCACCCCGAUCCCGUCCGCGUCCUCCACCACCAGGCUCACCUCGCGCACCGGAUCCUCCCCCUCGCCGCACGUGACCGCCGCCGUCACGGAGAACUCGCGCACCACCGUGGCGAACCGGACCAGGGUCUCCCCCGUGAACCAGUGCCGGUCCACGCGGACCGGCCUCCGGCUCGACAGGUUCACCGCGCGCCCGCGAGCCGGGUCGAUCACGAUCCAGCUCAGGGUCAGCUCCCCGGGCGAGAUCGAGAUCGCCGCCGCCGAGGGCGCCUCGUGCUUGGGGUCGAGCGCGUCGAUGCGGAAGGGGGAGCCGAGGAACCAGGGGGAGGCGGCGCGGGUCUCGAGGACGCGCGAGAAGACCGGGGCGCCCCGGUGGUAGAGGUCGACGGCGGAGAUGAGGCCGCGGAGGGGCCGGGGAGGGACCCCCCGGGGCGGCGACUGCCCCUGCGCCUGCGCCUGCGCGCGGCACCGGGGGAAGGGGAACGCGUCGGAGAAGAGGGACUGGGGCGGGGGGAGGGGGAGGGGGAGGGGGAGGAGGCGGAGGGAGGGCCACGUGGCGAGGCAGAGGUCGCGCCAAAUGGCGGGGUCGCCGGAGAGGCCGCGGAGGCGCGCGCUGGCGCAGCUGGCCGCGGCGAGCGAGGGCCCGUCGAGGCGGCGGAGGACGAGGGCGAGCACGUCCUCGUGGAGGUCCUCGAUGGUGGCCGCCAUCGCCAUGGCAGCGGUGCUCGAGCUCGGAUCUCACAGCAAAGGCGCUCUUCGAAGGGACCGACCAGGAAUUAAUGGCGAUGGAGAAGGAGAAGGAGAAGAGCGAGGAAGCGGUGGAAGGAGCAUUGGAAUUCAAUUUGAAAAUUGAGCCCUUCGCCUUCGGAGUUCGGACACAUAUAUUCCUAUUAUAUAUUUACAUUUACACACGAGUAAGUAAGUAUUAAGUAAUGAGAGCCCGUGGAUGGUCGAAAUUACAAAAACGCCACUCCGUUGAAUUGGGAUUUGUUCGUGACAAGUUCCCCGCGUGUCGGGCACGCCAGUUGGUGGUGUGAACGGAGUACGUGUUAGCGUCCGUUGCCGACUCGUGAGCUAUUUAUUAUCAGUUCUGUUAUACGUCCAGAGGACAGAGGGAAAUACCCUGUGUAUCUUUUAUAUAUAUAUCUUUUAUUAUUAUAGUAGAGUGCUAAUAUACGGACAAAUAAAUUAGAGAAAAAAAAUUAAAACUUCUUAGAUAAAUUUAUGUUGCGCUCCCAAGAGCACGCAUGAUGAGCCAAUAAUUUUCUUUUUAUAUUAUAUACGUCUUCCAGGCAUCACAUGCUCAUUACUAGAAUAAUAUUUUGAGAGAUUCAUAACAGUAUAUACUUCUAGAUGAAUGAAUAAGUUUACGUGGUGCACUCCUCACUUUUAAAUAUGUAGCUAUGGAGGCUUUUCGUGUUAAUUAAGAGCACUUAUUAGGUGGAUUGCUAACUUCUCGGAGGUGCUAAUUUGAUUUGAGCAGAUAAUGGGGCACAGGCGCCUAACCAUGAUUAUGCAUUUAUUGAGCUCGAAAAAUAUAUUUUUAUUUAUGCUUUUUUCUUCCCUUGAUGUUCAUAAAGAUUUCUAAUUCUAUUCAAUUAUAGAUUUCUAAUUCUAUUCAAUUACGCCACGAGUCUUUUCNAUUUUAUUUAUAAAUAUAUAAUAAUUUAUUUUAUAAUAUUAAAUAUAUAUUAUUAUUAUAUAUUAUAUUAUAUAUUUAUUAUAUAAUAUAUUUUAAAUAUAUCUUGUUUAUAAAUAUAAAUUAUAAUAAUUAAAUCUAUUAUGAUAAUUAUUAUAUAUUAAUAAUAUAUAAUAAUAUAUAUAAUAGGAGAAAAUAUAUAUAAUAAUUUUUCAUAUAUAGCAUAAUAAUAAUUGUUAUAUAUUAAUAAUAUAUAUAAUAAAAAAUAUAGUAAAUAGUUUUUUUUUUCUUUCAACCAAACAACUGUCACGGAAAACUUUUUUUUUUUCCUACAAACCAAAUACAAACGACGUAAAACUUUUUUUCCUAUCGAAAAUUUUUUUUCCACAGUUUUAUGUGGAACCAAACACAACCCCCGCUGUUUGGUUUGACGUAAAACUGCGAAAAAAAAUUUUCGGCGGAAAAUUAUUUUUACGUAGUGUAGUGUUUGGUUUGUAGGAAAAGAAAAAAUAGUUUUCGAUGAUGACUGUUUGGUUGAAAGAAAAAAAAAAGAUAAAAACUUAUGUAAUAUAAUUUUUAUUAUAUAUAUUAUUAUUAUAUAAUAAUUAAUAUACUAUAUAUAUUAUUAUAAUUUUUAUNUCGACUGGGACUCGACCUAGCACUAGCUGGGCCGAGCGCCCGCGCGCCACUUGGACAGCUCGGCCUCCGGCCAGGCGCACCUGGCCGUGACCAAGUGCCCCCUCUGGGACCAGGCCAAGCGGUGCCACCACGCGCUCAAGAGGCACUGCCGCCGCCAGUGCACGCCGCUCCCCCUCCUAGGCCACGCGCUCCACUCGGACCACCACCUCCUGCGCCUGCCCUAGCCCCACUCGCCGCCUCUCUCGGACCCCUAGUAGCCCCUUCGCGAGCUCCCUCGCUCCUCUCCUUCUCCUUCUCCGCUCCUCCUCCGCUUGUCCUCUAUGCUGCUCAAGUACUCCUCCGCCUUCUCCUCCUUCCUCUCGUUUCGGUCUUCCCUCCCGAACCAGCUGAAGGAGACGUGGCGGCAACCCCGGCGGCAAAGGAACCGAAAGAACGAGGAGCACCGGGAGCCGACUUGGGCUUAGGCUUGGGCUUAAGCUGGGCCUGGGCCUGGUCCUCCCAUUUCAACUAUGUAUAUACUAUAUGAAAAGAAAAGAUGAUUAUUAAUUUUACCGUCCAAUUCUUGCUUUCUUUUAAAUGUCGAAAUAGGACGAAAAGACCACUCCCUCACAAGUACUAGGUAGUCAGUUCGAAUUCCUAGGGAACUAAAUAAAGUAAUUUGCAUGCGGCAAGCUCUCUUUUUCAAUUCGGAGAAGAUAUUUAAUAAUCUUUUUCAAUUCGGAGAAGAUAUUUAAUAAUAAUUUUAUAACGACUACACAGUGAUGGUGUUUUGAGAUUUAAAAACAGAGUAACUAUAGCCCCGGGCGAGAUCGAGAUCGCCGCCGCCGAGGGCGCCUCGUGCUUGGGGUCGAGCGCGUCGAUGCGGAAGGGGGAGCCGAGGAACCAGGGGGAGGCGGCGCGGGUCUCGAGGACGCGCGAGAAGACCGGGGCGCCCCGGUGGUAGAGGUCGACGGCGGAGAUGAGGCCGCGGAGGGGCCGGGGAGGGACCCCCCGGGGCGGCGACUGCCCCUGCGCCUGCGCCUGCGCGCGGCACCGGGGGAAGGGGAACGCGUCGGAGGAGGAGGCGGAGGGAGGGCCACGUGGCGAGGCAGAGGUCGCGCCAAAUGGCGGGGUCGCCGGAGAGGCCGCGGAGGCGCGCGCUGGCGCAGCUGGCCGCGGCGAGCGAGGGCCCGUCGAGGCGGCGGAGGACGAGGGCGAGCACGUCCUCGUGGAGGUCCUCGAUGGUGGCCGCCAUCGCCAUGGCAGCGGUGCUCGAGCUCGGAUCUCACAGCAAAGGCGCUCUUCGAAGGGACCGACCAGGAAUUAAUGGCGAUGGAGAAGGAGAAGGAGAAGAGCGAGGAAGCGGUGGAAGGAGCAUUGGAAUUCAAUUUGAAAAUUGAGCCCUUCGCCUUCGGAGUUCGGACACAUAUAUUCCUAUUAUAUAUUUACAUUUACACACGAGUAAGUAAGUAUUAAGUAAUGAGAGCCCGUGGAUGGUCGAAAUUACAAAAACGCCACUCCGUUGAAUUGGGAUUUGUUCGUGACAAGUUCCCCGCGUGUCGGGCACGCCAGUUGGUGGUGUGAACGGAGUACGUGUUAGCGUCCGUUGCCGACUCGUGAGCUAUUUAUUAUCAGUUCUGUUGUACGUCCAGAGGACAGAGGGAAAUACCCUGUGUAUCUUUUAUAUAUAUAUCUUUUAUUAUUAUAGUAGAGUGCUAAUAUACGGACAAAUAAAUUAGAGAAAAAAAAUUAAAACUUCUUAGAUAAAUUUAUGUUGCGCUUUCAAGAGCACGCAUGAUGAGCCAAUAAUUUUCUUUUAUAUUAUAUACGUCUUCCAGGCAUCACAUGCUCAUUACUAGAAUAAUAUUUUGAGAGAUUCAUAACAGUAUAUAUACUUCUAGAUGAAUGAAUAAGUUUACGUGGUGCACUCCUCACUUUUAAAUAUGUAGCUAUGGAGGCUUUUCGUGUUAAUUAAGAGCACUUAUUAGGUGGAUUGCUAACUUCUCGGAGGUGCUAAUUUGAUUUGAGCAGAUAAUGGGGCACAGGCGCCUAACCAUGAUUAUGCAUUUAUUGAGCUCGAAAAAUAUUUUUUUAUUUAUGCUUUUUUCUUCUCUUGAUGUUCAUAAAGAUUUCUAAUUCUAUUCAAUUAUAGAUUUCUAAUUCUAUUCAAUUACGCCACGAGUCUUUUCACUGCGUAGUUCGAAAGGAAAAGAAACAUCUCAUUAAUAGAAUUUCUGAAAUGAAAUAUAUAUCCUUAUCCGAGUAGUUAGGACUUUUUUCAUUAAUUAUCAAGCUAUGGGAUCUUAGUUACAGAGGUAUAUCCUAUUUUUUUAACGAGCUUAAUGAUUUAAUGUCAGCAGUAAUUGCAUUUUCUAUUUCUUUCAUUUGUGAUUUGUUUCUAGGUAAGAUUGAAUUUAAGAAAAUCGUAAUUACGGUAAGGGGGCGUUUGGUUCCCCAUAAAAAUAGUCAGAAAAUUUUUUAGUUUGAAAUUUUUUUUUCUAGUGUUUGGUUUGACGUAAAAAAUUUUUCCAGAAAAAAUUAUUUUACGUAUUCUAUAGAAAAAAAAAGCUUUUCGUUUUCUGCCGAGAUUCGGCGGAACUCGGCGGAAAACGAAAACUCAUCGCGGCUCAUUAUUUGGUCCACGAGCUCAUGUAAGAGCUCGUGGACCGAGGUGAGUGGUCCACACUGGACCACUCAUCUAUAUAUAUAUAUAUAUAUAUAUAUAUAUAUAUAUAUAUAUAUAUAUAUAUAUAUAUAUAUAUAUAUAUAUCUUUGUGCACUAGUGUCUUGUUGAAUUAUUUAAAAUUUUAAACUUUUGUGAAUAUCAGAUCUAACUAUUCAAAAUGAUUUGUUGAAUUAUUUAAAUUUUACACUUUUGAGAAUAUCAGUUCUAACUUUUCUAAAUGAUUUUUUUGUGAACAAUAUGUCAUGCAUUCAUGUUUAUGUGGAUCACAAAUGCGCGCUAACCUGAACCUGGUCGCCGACGUUGAUGACAAAGGCUCCAGGGAUCGGCUUGACGGUGACCCAUUCAUCGCCCUUGCGAACCUGCAGGCCCUUGACGUGGUCGUCGGCCAAGAGCACGGUGAUUCCGCCCGGGUCAGAGUGCGGCGAGAGGCCGAGGGUGAGAUCAGGUUGUGGGCACUUCGGGUAGUAGUUCGCCCUCACACAAGCCUCAACAUCCUCUCCUCCAAAUGCUCUAUAUAUGUAGUUCUCAUCCAAGCCCAAGCCUGCUGAUAUUGCCUUUGUUAACACCCUACACAGCUUCANNNNNNNNNNNNNNNNNNNNNNNNNACGCAGCAAUUCACCAACAACAAACACCGGACGUCAAACUUUUAAUUUCCUUCGAAAAAUAUUUAUACCAACGUUAUAAUUAUGUGGAAGAGCCAAACCACAACCGGCUGUUUGGUUUGACGUAAAACUGCGAAAAAAAACCUUUCGGCGAAAAUUAUCAUUUUCGUAGUGUAGUGUUUGGUUUGUACGGAAAAGAUAAAAAUAGUCUUUUCGAUGAUGACUGUUUCUGGUUCGCAAGAAAAAAAAAAGAUAAAACUUAAUAUAAAUUUAUUAUAUAUACUCUAUGUAUUACUAAAUACAUUAGAUAUACUAAAUCAUAAUUAUAAGUUUUUAUAUAUAAAUCUAAACAUAUUUAAUUAUUAAUAAGAUAGAUUAUAUAAUAACUAUAUUAUAUUUAGACUAUAAAGAUAAACAUUAACUAUAAUACUACCUAGUAUCAUAUGAUCAUAUACAACUAUAUACUAUCUAUAGAGUUGAGCUAUGAUACUUUUACAAGUAUCACCAUCAUGGUGCUAUUAGGUUUUAAGCCAUUGGAUCUACUUUUUGAUUAUUAAUAGUCCUUAGAUUAAACACUAUUCCACCUACCACCACCUACCACCAUCAUCUCAACCUCACAUUUCUCCAUCCAAGGACUAAAAACACACAAGUAUCACCCCCCUGAUACUUUUACAAGUAUCCUAGUCCUAUUCUAUAUAUAUAUAUAUAUAUGCGCACAGACACACGCAUAAUGAAUGAGGGAGAGAGUCCACGGGUCACGUGGACUCUCCCUAACGCGAUCCACGAGGUGAAGUUCACCUAUUGGACCGCUUGUUGGAACAGCCCUGUGUCGCGAUUUUUCAGCGCUAGCUUUUCAUUUUCCGCUCGCUUCGAGCGGAAAACGAAAACCCUUCGUUUUCCGAGAAUAUGUUAAAAAAGUUUUUUGGAAAAAAAUUUUACAGUCAACCAAACAACAAAAAAAAGUUUUCCAACGAAAAAUUUUUUUUCGAAGCAAUUUUACGAGGAUCCAAACACGCCCUAAGAAAGACUUGAAAAAAUUGAUCAACAAACAUUCUAGUUCUAGCAAUAACAUGAUUAAAUUAGAUGUAUUAUAUCUCAAAAAAAAAAGAAAAGAUGUAUUAUAAAUUUAAGUAGUAAAAUUUAAAUUUUAAAUUUUAAAAGUUUAUUUCAAAAUAUGCUACAAUCUAGGUAAUGUCCUUUUCUUUUCAACUUAUAAUAAAGUACUGUACUAAUUUAUGCAAAAAAAAAAAAAAAAAAAAAAUUCUAUCUCCAUUAACGUCCAAAUACGUGCACAGCUGCGUAUAUAUAUGUACGUACACAAAAACAUUAAUUCGACCUUUCGUAUUUCUUUCCUUCACACAGCUAGUCCCAACCAACUAAUUAAAGUGUUCAAAACAUGUACUUGUUCCACGCAUCUCAACUCAUCAACCAAUCUACGUAUGUACAAUGAGAAAUUCAUAACUAGAGUUUGGCACACCAAGUACAGCAAUUACACUAGUUGUUGGUUUAAAUACCUCUCAUCAUAUUACAACUAAUUAUUAGUUUAAUUAGAUAUCUCUCAUUAGAAUGUAACGAAUUAUUAGUUUAAUUAAAUAUUUCUCAUUAGACAGGUUUAGAUCGUUUUAAGGGGUGCUGGUGACAUAUGUGUCAUUAUCUACAAUACACAUAUUUUCAGGGUGGAUAUAAGUUCUUAUCAACUGAUAAAUUGUCCAAGUUUUGGUGAAGGUUUAAUAUAUGUACUUCCUCACUUUUAAAUGAACUGCUAUAUAUGUACAGUUAAUUAAAAAAAUAAUAUCUAACUUAUGUUCAUAUAUAAUCCAAAUUAAAUCGCGCAACAUAUAUCAAAAUAUUUUGAAUAUAAAUUGGCGCAUGGCAGAAGAGGCCAGAAGUGUUAUCUUGUAAGAUGAAACCCCUCUAGAAAAAUAAUUAGAAAUUACGUUAAGAUGAGGGGUCAUAUUCACUAUUCCCCCGUUGGCAUACUUUCCAUACCUUAAAGAAGAAGAAAUAUUAAUUAUAGCUCAGGCUUGAAGUAGAGUUCAAAGAAGAUCAGCUUUGCCUUUCUACUGUAUGAAAAUAAAGACAAAGUUGAUGAUGCAGGCCCAGUUGAGACCUUUUAUUUUAUUACGUGACCUGGAGGGUUUACGAACCCAAGUUCUACAACUUCGACAUUAAUUAAUUAGGGGAGCAGUUGAAGGGGCCACAUCCCACAUUGUUGCCCCUUCCUGGCUUUUUGCAUGCAGCUUACUUAAGCGCAAGAACAAAUUACUUUUCUUCCUUAAAAAGAAAAUAUAAAGUUACUACUUGUGUAAAUUGCUGAUGCAUUAGCAUACACAAGAUAAAACAAACUUUACUAUAUUCAUGCACACAAUUUAAGAUUUUAUAUAUAUAUGUUUGCUAACAUAUAAAUCAAUAUAUAUAUAUAUAUAGGCAUCUACUAAGGAAUGAAUCUAUAAGCUGGUUGUAUCUAUAUAUAAGGAACAAACUUUGUCUCAUUUGCGUUUUUGUGCUUUAUUAUCAGUUUUUUUUUUUAUUUUGAAAAAAAUGUAGCAAGUUACCUGCUUUAUUCACUAUGUAUGCUUAGUUCAUUUUACCUGCUUUAUUAUCAGUUGAUUUCAACAAGGGAGAAUUAAAGGGAGGUGUCACUCUCUUUAAUUGCCUGGUGAAAUCACCAUACGUAACCAAAUAAUUGCGUGAAUUUGACAAUACACGGGUUAGGUAGAGUAGGAUCCAGUCACUACUCACUCAAUGGGGAACUCUCUGGAAACAAAUAAAAAAAAUAUUAAGACUAAUUUUAUUUAAUUUUUUCUUUUAUCAGAUUGAUGGUUUUAGUAAUAUACUAAUUCAUGUAGCAAUAUCAAAACUCAUCCUAAGCCCCCCUCUAUCUAUCUCAUAAGUUUUAAGUUUAAUUUUCACUUCUGCUGUUUAACCUAUUAUCUCUUCUGUGAUUUUUUUUUUCAUUUGCAUACAUGAUGUAACUCAUCUAAUAUUCUUGUAUACAUGAAUGGUAUGUUGGUUUUCCGUAAAAGCCAUACCAUUUUUCCUUUUUCUUUUUUCUUUUGAGAAAAAGGUAGCGCGCUAUCUGCUUCAUUCAAUAAGAAAGAUAAACUAAGCGUACAAGGUGGAAGCAGCUUAUGCUUCCUUGGCAAAACCCGAAGUGAAAAUAAAUGAAACGAAAGUAAAACAAGAAAGAGACAAGAUCAAAAGGGGAUAGAGGGGAGAGAAAACACAAGGUGACUGAUCACAGGAGUGAGAUCCAUGAGUCAGAUAGGGUUAGUGCUCUCUCUGAGGCUCUGACGACGUUGGGAAGAUUCGAACAGAAGACAAAGCUGUUUUGCUCGGUCCAGAGAACCCACCAAGUAGCCGCUAGCUUGGUUAAAACUUUAGCUCUUAAAUUGGCAUCGGGGAUUUGUGAUGUUAAGUUUCAAAGACCUCGGGCGUCCUUGCCUAGACCAAAGAUGUGUGCCUCAGCCAGUCGGAGAAGAAGAAAUCGGGCGAAGACGCAAUUACAGAAGAGGUGAUCGCAACAUUCCAAGAAGAGUGCACAGAAGACGCAGCAAGUUUCGCUUUUAUUAACUAUGAGAAACCGGUUUUCUUUUUUCUUUUUUAAUAAUUGGGUAGCGAAAAGUGGGAAAAGGAAAGAAAAAGAAAUUUUUUUGUGAGAAUGCUUGUUGCUCUUGCAGCUUUAAAGUUGUACGGAUGCAUUUUUGUCGAGAGGAACAAAAAAAUAGAAUAGAAGUGGUUUUCAUGAUUAGGAUCGUUAUCCUCUAACCGCCAUAUACAUUUUGAAAAAUUGAUUACAAAGAAAAGGUCAAGGUUGUGAUGUCCCACAAUGGAUAUAAAAUUGAGCAAAAAGAUUAAAACAGAGGACUUAUUUGAACAAUGCCUUAUUUUGAAAUGGAUGCGUGAACUUUUUUAAUGUUCUAAAUUUAGCUACGUAAUUUUGUACGCAUGAUUCGAGUAUCUCUUGAUAUAAGAAUUAUUGGUAUUUUCAGCCGAAUAUUCUACAAUCAAAGAAAUUUAUGUUUUUUUUUGAGAGGAAGGUAGCACGCUACCCGCUUCAUUCAUUGAUUUGGUGAAUUAAGCUACAGGUGUGGGGCAACUAGGCCCCGUGGAACGGUCAAGGCAAGGUUAAAAAAAAAAAAAAAAAAAAAAAAAAAAAGUGCUAAAUUGAUCCGGGCAGCGGUUCCCACUCCUUCAGCAGUUUCUUGAGACUGUUUACCGCUACCCCUGGGUUAGGCCAGAUAUUCCGGAAGAUCAUAUCGUUCCUGGCCUUCCAGAUAAUCCACCAACACCCUACUAGGUCAAUGAGACCGGAGUGCUUGUUCAGGUGUGUGUUUUUCUCCGUCCACCUGUCCCAAACUAGGUUCACAUCGACCCCUAGGUCACGAGCUUGGAUGUCUUCCACCCCUGUCACCAAUACAAACUUACCAAAUACACACCUGGUGAAUAGAUGUUCCGCUGAUUCAACCUCCACCCCACAAAGCACACAGGUUGGAUCCUGAAUCCACCCUCGCUUGACAAGCCUAUCUCUUGUGAGGAUCCUUUUCUUGAGAAGCAGCCACACGAAAACUUUAACUUUCAGCGGGAUUGUGAGACUCCAAAUACGUGUGGCUCGUUCAUCUCUCGUGCCGCCGUCCGACAAAGCCGAAUAGGUGGAUUUGACCGAGAAUUUGCCAUUGGGGCUCCAUCUCCAAAGUAACCUAUCAGAUCCCUGCUCGACGGAGAAGCUAGAUACCGUUUGCAUUAAUUCCGAGAUGCCUGGUACCCACCCAAGAGCUUGUCCCACCUCGCUUCCCAGGAUCUUGGACCAGUUCCAAUUUUCCCCUGUAAGGCAUUCGCUUACUCUAAGAUUUUUCCCCACCGACCCUUGGUAAGCUUCCGGGAACGUCCGGUUCAACGUUUUCUCUCCACACCACCGAUCUUGCCAGAAAUCGAUGCUACUCCCGUUACCCAGAGAAAACGCCGUCCCCCAUUUAAAGAUGGUAGAUACCGAAAGGCAACCUUUCCACCAGCUAGAGAAUGGCCUAAAGGAUGUACCUUCCCUGAGGGGUAUCCUUCUGCGAUAGUACAGAUCGCGUGUUAGCUUAUUCCACAGUAGUUCAGGUUCAGUGUGGAAUUUCCACCACCACUUGGUCAGAAGGGUCUGAUUCAUGAUCUCCAUGUCCAAGAUCCCUAACCCACCUUCUUUCUUGGACCUGCAGACGUUUUUCCAAGCCACCAAACAACCCAUGCCAACCUUGUUGCGACUACCGCACCAGAAAAAAUCUCUUCUAAUGGCUUCAAUCUGCUUAAUCACCCAAGCGGGUGCCUUAAAGACAGAUAAAAAAUAUAGGGGUAUGCUGGUUAACACUGCAUUAACCAGGAUGAGUCUCCCUCCCCUAGAAAGAAGUUUAGCUUGCCAGCCCUCAAUUUUACGCUGAAUCUUCUGAAUGAUUCCAGUCCACACUUCCUUGGACGGUGGGUUAGGGGAGAGAGGUAAGCCCAAAUAUAAGGCCGGGAGGGUGCCGACUCUACACCCGAGAGUAUUAGCUAACCUCGUUCCUUUGCCUUCCUCCUGCCCCAGGUAGUAGAGCUCCGACUUCUCCCUAUUGAUUUUCAUACCGGAUGCCCAUUCGAAAAGCCUCCAUAGAAACCUCAGGUUUUUCAUGAACCUGUUUCUAGCCGUGCAGAAGAAAAAGGUAUCGUCCGCAAACUGGAUGAGAGUGACCUUACAAGCCCCAGACGGACCAAUUCCCUUGAUGAAAUUAUUAGUGGUUGCCUCUUUGGUCAUUCGUGCCAAACAUUCCGCCACCAAAAGAAAGAGGAAUGGCGAGAGUGGGUCCCCCUGUCUUACACCUCUCCUCGUCUUAAUCCACUUGGUCGGUUCGCCGUUCACAAGGAUCGCCACUUUUGCAUCACACACACAUGUUUCUAUCCAACCGCACCAAGUAUCAUUGAAUCCCCACCAUCGUAAUAUUUGAAAAAGGAAUGGCCACAAAAUCCUAUCAUAGGCCUUCUCAAAGUCCACCUUAACCCCCACGCCGUCAACCGCCUUUUUAAUCCCCCAACUAACAAGCUCGGAAACAGAGGCAAAUGCAUCGGUAAUGUUCCUGCCUUUCAAGAAGGCAGAUUGGGUCGGGGAUAUCAAGCCCUUCAUGACUUGCUCCAAUCUGUUGGCCAAGACCUUAGAUAUUAUUUUUUGAAUCCCGUUCAACAGACUUAUAGGUCGAAAAUCAUUAGCCUGGGUGGCCCCCUCCUUCUUCGGAAUAAGAGUAAUGAAGGUAUAAUCGAUAGCGGCGGAGGAAUGACUCCCCUCGUGCAGUUCCUUAAAAACGCUCAAUAAAUCCUCCUUGACCGUGUCCCAGAACGUUUGGUAGAAGUUAAGUGGAAAGCCGUCCGGUCCUGGUGCCUUGUCACCCCCCAACUGGAACACUGCUUCCUUGAUUUCUUGUAAGUUAAACGGCUCUGUCAACCUCGAGAGAUUGGUAUCUGUUACUCGGUCGGAUAUGAAUAGCCUGGUCCAAUCCCCAAAGGAAGUCGGAUUUGACGCGUCGGGAGUGAAGAUUGACUUAAAGGAACGGUAGAAGUAGUGUCGCUUAUCCUCUUCAGAUUGGUAGCUGAUACUAUUAUCUUCCAUCGUGCCGAUCCAGUUAGCUCUACGCCUACCAUUUGCGACCGAGUGAAAGAAUUUAGUGUUACCGUCCCCCUCACGAAGCCAAUGUUGUUUGGCCCGAGUUUUCCAUAGAGAGGUCUCGUCACUCAAAACCCUCGUCAACUCAUCCUUUAGAGCCGCUCUCUUAUUUCUAUACUCAGGCUCCAGAUUGUCCGCUUCUUCUGCUUCGUCUAUUCUCUGUAUUUCGUCCAUCAGUCUCGUCUUAGCUUUUCUGAUGCUGUAGAACACAUUAGUGCACCAUUCUUUGAUCCUCACCCGGCAAUGUCUCAACUUUGCGGUGAACGAUAAAAUCGCCGAUUUCCCUUGGUUGCCUAGGGACCCCUCCCUCCACCACACCGGCACUUUCUUUAUGAAAUCUUCGUGCUUCAGCCACGCUUCCUCGAACCGAAAAAUCUUGUUCCUCCCCCUGGCACCUACCCCAGUCGUUAAUACGAUAGGACAAUGGUCCGAUGUAAUUCUGGGUAGCGCUUCAACCUUCGAAAGGGGAAAUUCCCUGUCCCAAUCGGUUGACAGUAGGAACCGAUCAAGUCUCGCUAAAGUUGGGGUGUCUUGCAUAUUUGACCAAGUGAAGGCUUGAUUAGUCAUCGGUGGGUCGAUCAUAGCAAGAUCGUUGAUCAGCCCGUUGAAUAAGUUCGUGGCUUUUCUACUCCAUCGUUUACCCCUUCGUUCCUCUUGACUUCUUGUACAAUUGAAGUCACCGCAGAUAAUCCAUUUGCCCACACAAAGCUCCUUUAGAUGGGAUAAUUCAGCAAUAAACUCUUCCUUGCCGUUCCACGAGGCGGGUCCAUAGACGUUAGUCAGAUAGAAUUUAGCCCCACACGAGUUGGAAUGCAGGAGGGUAGUAAUGGAGUAGGUCCUCACGAUGACUUCAAGGCAGGAGAAGAAACGGGAGCUCCAAUCUGUGAUAAUACCUCCAGAAGAAAUUUAUGUUACUUACAAAAAAUACAUGGGAAGUUGUCGAGUUGUAACAAAACUAAGAUGUCUUUUUGGAAUCAAAACGUAAAAGGAUGGAGUAUUUGUCUUUGGUUGGUAUUGUUGCCCUUGAAUUUCUAUAUUACAAAUAAAAUUUGAUACGCCUUUAAGAAGAACUUAGGCCUCAUUUGCCAUUGUUGUCUUUCUUUUCUUUUUCUUUUUUUUGUAACAUGGGUUUUAUAUAAUUUGAAGCAUUAGAGAAAUUUUUUUUACUAUUAUUAUAUGUGCUUAGCUUAUAAUGUAUCCUACUAAAUAAUAAAUGAUAAUUUAUCUUAAAAAUUAAGAAAAAAAUAUCUUUUUUUUUUUCUCGAGCAGGUAUUUUGAAUGAAAGGAUUGUAGAUUUUUUUUUUUUGAAAGUAGCAUGCUACCGUCUCAUUCAAUAAGAAUAUGAACUGAGCCACAAACUAAGACAAUUGGGCCUCCAAGAAUGAACGAAAAAAACAUGCUACCACUUCUAUCUCACAUACAUCAACGAAAAAAAACAUGCUACCACUUCUAUCCGCACUCCAACCCCUUUUUCAAAGGUUCUCCACUGUGAGCACCUCUCUUUGUAGUACUAGCCAUAUAAAAAUCUUGACUUUUAAUGAGGCUUUUGUCUUCCAAAGUUGAAUAAAAUUUUAAUUGUGAACCCCACCAUCUUGCAGAAAUUUAUAGCGUGAUUUGACCGUGAACUUUUCGGACCGAGUCCAUCUCUAUCUAAUCUCAUCUGAUCUAUUAGAAGGCCACAUCUUCGAAAUCGUCUCUUUAAACUUCAUGAUCAAGUAAAGGUCAACCUGGGAAGUAGGAAUGAAACCUGCCAGGAUCUUAGGCCAUCUCUAUCCGGUCCCUCCCCAGCACUCCUUCACAAGAUAUUUCUUGUGUACAAUUGUAUCGUAAAUAAGGGAGAAGAGAGUACAGGAUUGUAAUUAUUUUACAAUGCACUCCGACCCAUUUGAGUCGUGUGGCCACAUCUCCCCGUUAGAGAGUUUGCACUGAGAAAAGGGGAAAGAAAAUGGGCCUAUUGAAUAUAUGACCAGUGUCCUGGGAUUCAAGUGGGCUCCAAGAGGUCUACUUAAUCUUAAAAAACAAAUUACCAUUCACUGUGUAAGCCGUAAAAAAGCCAUGACUCCUGGGAGGAGGCUAUAUGUACAUCCGUCUAAAACCUCACUUCUACUCUUCUCACUGUUCUAAGUACUCCUGUAUACACAAAAACACAUUCACUCACACUUCUUCUGUGGACUCUUUAAUUUAAGUGUUGUUGCUAUUUUUAGUGUUAUAAUUCAUGGACAAAAGGCUUGCGUAGAGGAUCUCGUUCCACAUGUCCGGCACGCCGGGAAGGCACCAGUGGCUGCAAUCCUCCGCCGCGUGCGGCGGCGUGCCGGGCUCGCGGUGGCUCGACGGGUGCCCGUCCUUCCUCAGCUCGGUUGGAUGCGUGAUGUCCAGAUACCGCGCAUUCCUGCCGCCUCUCUUCAUCUCCUCCACCGCACGGACGGUGAUCGCGUUGCUCCACGGCUCGGGCUCGAACCUGAACCUGAACCCACUGGUGCUGAUCCAUGGCUCCGUUUCCCGUCUGCAUGUGCCGUUCGUGUCCCACGUCCCAUUCCUGCAGUCGAGAGCCAUGUUAAAUUUAACAAAAUUUUUAGCAUAAUCAACUAAAAUUACUCAUGAUGAUAAGAGUUAAAAUUCGACUCACGUGUAAUGAGAAGGGGAGAAGCUUCGGAAGAAGAUGUGCGCCUUCGAAAGUUGUGGAUUGCUUGUGGCCCAAUUUGUCACCGUCUCCAGACUUAGUUGAAAAGCUUCUUUGAUAUCCAUCGUCAUGUUUAUUGUUUUGCCCACUUGAAUAUAGUUUCCCCUGAAGAAAUUUGUGCGCAUGCAAUUACAGUGCAAUAGUAAUCUAGUAUACAGCAAAGAUAAAUUGAUGUCAUAUAUGCAUUAUCGGGCCCAAAACUUCUCGGCUAACCAAUUAUGAACACGACGAGGCCCAACCCAGCCCAUGUAAUUUUUUUAAAAAAAAACUAAAAGAAAAACAAUCCAAAUAUAUAUAUAUAAUAUGGUAGGAAUAUUAAAUGGUUACAUUUUUGUGAUCUUGUCCUCGCUCCACCAGUGGCCAGUAUUGAAAACGAGCACGUCGGCCCCGGCCCACCGGCCAGCCAGGUGUGGCAACAUGUCGACACGCACCGCACCCUUUAUUGGCCCCCCGGAUGACACGUUCGGAGGGAGGCGGUCGACGGUGACGAGCAUCGGUGCGCGGUAAUACUCGACAGUGAGGUUGUAAUCCUGGAACACCAGGGAGAGGAAUCCCCUGUGCUUGGUUAUCGGGUUUCCGAACUGCUCGUAGAUUCGCGACCCGUUACCGACGCCUUUCGCAAGCAUGCACACCAAUGACUCCCACUGGUUCCUCCCGAUCGAGUCUCCCGCAAAUACAAUCCUCCCGUUUCUGCUCCUCUCCAGCAUAUCACUCGCAUUGAACCUGAUUUUAGUUUGGUGCGUAGUGAACAAUUUGAUUAGUUGUGAAUAACCCAAUUAAGAUUAAUUCCUAUAGCACUCUUAGGCCUAGUUUCUGGAAUGAGUCGGUUAAACACGCACGCCUGUUUUGAACAAUGCGAGAUUAUAUUAAAGUUCUCCCUAUAAGAUGAUAUACAAUAAUUGUAGGAAUUCCACUGUAUGCGUUUGGACAAUACAUAACACAAUGAGAAUUCCAAAGUAAUAUUACUUCCAUAACACAAUUAGAUUAAUAACUUUUAUCCUAAUUCAUGAAAAGAAAAAAUAUAACAAAAAAAAAGAUAAGAUUACAACAAAUAAAC
rnacentral:lncRNA from 1 species